GCCGGGCGCGGUGGCGCGCGCCUGUAAUCCCAGCAACUCAGGAGGCUGAGGCAGGAGAAUCGCUUGAACCCGGAAGGCGGAGGCUGCAGUGAGUCGAGAUCGCGCCACUGCACUCCAGCCUGGGUGACAGAGUGAGACUCUGUCUCGG
rnacentral:sRNA from 1 species